rnacentral:rRNA from 1 species
UCCUUGNUCAUUUAGAGGAAGUAAAAGUCGUANCAAGGUCUCCGUAGGUGAACCUGCGGAGGGAUCAUUACACAAAUAUGAAGGCGGGCUGGAACCUCUCGGGGUUACAGCCUUGCUGAAUUAUUCACCCUUGUCUUUUGCGUACUUCUUGUUUCCUUGGUGGGUUCGCCCACCACUAGGACAAACAUAAACCUUUUGUAAUUGCAAUCAGCGUCAGUAACAAAUUAAUAAUUACAACUUUCAACAACGGAUCUCUUGGUUCUGGCAUCGAUGAAGAACGCAGCGAAAUGCGAUAAGUAGUGUGAAUUGCAGAAUUCAGUGAAUCAUCGAAUCUUUGAACGCACAUUGCGCCCUUUGGUAUUCCAAAGGGCAUGCCUGUUCGAGCGUCAUUUGUACCCUCAAGCUUUGCUUGGUGUUGGGCGUCUUGUCUCUAGCUUUGCUGGAGACUCGCCUUAAAGUAAUUGGCAGCCGGCCUACUGGUUUCGGAGCGCAGCACAAGUCGCACUCUCUAUCAGCAAAGGUCUAGCAUCCAUUAAGCC